rnacentral:rRNA from 1 species
GCCAGCAGCCAUAUCACCCUGCAACUCACAACUGGCAGCUCACUGAAGCUAAGCAGGGUUGAGCCUGGUCAGUACCUGGAUAGGAGACCACCUGCUGGAGGUGGUGUUACUGGGA